rnacentral:lncRNA from 1 species
GGGAAAGAAGGAAAGACAAGGAAGAAAAGAAAGAAGGAAAGAGAACAGCUAUUGUUGCCCCACCUCUUUCUCACUCUCCUUCCUAUCUACUCUUGCUUAGCUGAAGUCCUAGCUCUUCCAGGAUGGAGAGGGUCACAUUCAAUAACCUUCUAGCACUAAUGAACUAGGAUUCUAUAGAUGCUUUUCCUGAUUGCCUCAACCCACCAUGACCUUUCUGCACAAAUUUACAGAACUUAGUGUCCAUAACACAUCAUGCAAAAGCUUCAUGGUGUAUGCUUUAACAUUGUCUAUGGGGGAGUUUUCUCAUGCGGGCAUUCCCUAGCUCAUUUAAUUCACAGGUCUACCUCCCAGCCCCAUUAUCCUAUCCCCCCAUGACAAAAGGACCACCAGAAGUCUGCCCUUUGACAGCUGACAGGUAAAUUUCUAAAUGACUAAAAAUAGAUGGGAAGGGAAAGAAGAAAAGGAACCCUCAAUACUAUCCAGCAUCAGUCUUGCUCUUAGGGACACGAUCUGAAAAUUUUAGUCAUUUGGGGCCUAACAGUUGAAUAACCUGGAUAUGAAAGAAAGGAAAGGGGUAGAAAUUGGAGAAUAAUCUCCCCAAAAAGGUCCCUUUGUUUAUUUAUUUUUUGGCUCUUUCAGGGAUUUUACAAACAGAUCAAUGUCCUAACAGCUCUUUUUUGACACCGGACUAAAGGCACAUUCUUUCUCAACACCAAUCCUUAUAUGGUCGGUAAUUACUCUGAAUAGCUUCUCUGAAAGAGGGAGAUGCAUGUUCCCAAUAUCCCUGAGAGAGCCGUCUCACUCACACAGCAACCAUGUCAAACAGCUCCAUACAACAAAAAUGACCCAAAGCCCUCCUUCUCUCCCCAAGCCCACUCUCCACCCCCCAUUUCCCUUCUGGAGCCAACCAGUGGAUACAGAGAAUGAAUUAUGUUCUCAGAACUAGAAUGAUGGGAGAGAUACAAAGACAGAAAGCACUGGGGUGUGUGAGAGGGGAAGAAAGGCAGGAGGAAGGAUGGGGCAGACAGCAGAGACAAAGAUGCCUCCAUUCACCAGACUGGCCAUUGAGUAACCCUCACAGUGUAGCAAGACAUGUUGGGCAAGUUGACGCAGGAGGGAAAACCAAGCCACUAGGUCAUCCCCAAGUUCUGGUUCUCUUCCCUCUAGGGCAAGGACUAUCUUGCCGUUGGGGGAGAUAGGGAGAGGCACAUUUUAACCUUACACUCAUCAGAAUUGGCUCAAACAGGGAAGGACAUACAAAAUCAACUGAGAUUAGAAAUCUAUAUUACUCUGUAGGAAAGUAGGAGGGGAAGGGGAUAAGGGAAGGAGUAACGAUGGAGCAUUGAUAGAAAAAGAGAAAAUUGGGGGAGGCACUGGUCAAAAGCAGAAUACUUUUGAGGAUGGAUAGAAUAAAAGGAGAGAAAGUCAGAGAAAUGGGGAGAAA